rnacentral:rRNA from 1 species
ACUGAAUAGAUACCCCGGUAGUCCACGCCCUAAACGAUGUCAACUGGUUGUUGGAGGAGUGAAAUCCUUUAGCAAACGGAGCUAAACGCGUGAAGUUGACCGCCUGGGGAGUACGGUCGCAAGAUUAAAACUCAAAGGAAUUGACGGGGACCCGCACAAGCGGUGGAUGAUGUGGAUUAAAUUCGAUGCAACGCGAAGAACCUUACCUACCCUUGACAUGUCCGGAACUUGCCAGAGAUGGCUUGGUGCCCGAAAGGGAACCGGAACACAGGUGCUGCAUGGCUGUCGUCAGCUCGUGUCGUGAGAUGUUGGGUUAAGUCCCGCAACGAGCGCAACCCUUGUCCUUAGUUGCUACGCAAGGGCACUCUAAGGAGACUGCCGGUGACAAACCGGAGGAAGGUGGGGAUGACGUCAAGUCCUCAUGGCCCUUAUGGGUAGGGCUUCACACGUCAUACAAUGGU